UCAGUACUUUCUCACCGCCAUUAACUCCCAUCCAAACCCUAACGCCUUCUCAUCUAACAAAUCGAAGAAGCCUCGAAUUAAUCUGCAAGUGCCAGGAUUGUAUGUUGGUGUAUUCCUGCAUUUUACCGUUCUUGCACUAUCUACCGGUCUUAGAUGCAACUACCCAUGUCCAAGAUAUGUGGAGUAUAGAGUAUAGAUUGCAUAUUUGAUAAAUUGUGAUCUGUAAGUUUCAUAUUUCAAAUUGUUUAUUGUUUUUAAGUGUGAUAUAAUUCCUAUGGUUGAAUUUUACAAAAUUGAGGUAGAGAGAAGCUAUUUCCAGAUUCAUUCGGAACAUCUUGCAAUGAGGGAAAGGGUCCUCAGAUUACUACAUCCAAGUACGAUCAUGCGAGCAUAGGUAUUGAGUUGCUUGGACAUCCUAAUGGUCAAAUAUUGGGGAGAAUAUGAGAAUGGAGGGUUAAUAGAAUAGGUGAAGCGAUCUUGGAAUGUAGUUUUGUAGGAUAAUUUUAACACUUCAUAUUUGAAUAUUGUAUGACUUCUAUUUCAUUGAAAGUAUUAAGUAAAUUGAUGAUAUGAUAGUUUUUUUACUUCGUA